CCUACGGGUGGCAGCAGUGGGGAAUAUUGGGCAAUGGGCGCAAGCCUGACCCAGCAACGCCGCGUGAAGGAAGAAGGCUUUCGGGUUGUAAACUUCUUUUGUCAGGGACGAAGCAAGUGACGGUACCUGACGACUAAGCCACGGCUAACUACGUGCCAGCAGCCGCGGUAAUACGUAGGUGGCAAGCGUUAUCCGGAUUUAUUGGGUGUAAAGGGCGUGUAGGCGGGAAUGCAAGUCAGAUGUGAAAACUAUGGGCUCAACCCAUAGCCUGCAUUUGAAACUGUAUUUCUUGAGUGCUGGGGAGGCAAUCGGAAUUCCGUGUGUAGCGGUGAAAUGCGGAGAUAUACGGAGGAACACCAGUGGCGAAGGCGGAUUGCUGGACAGGAACUGACGCUGAGGCGCGAAAGCGUGGGGAGCAAACAGGAUUAGAUACCCUGGUAGUC
rnacentral:rRNA from 1 species